CAAAUGGCGAUCGGACUGGCAUGUUAUUGGGCAAUCUUGUUUGUUUUGCCUCUCGCCUGUGCUACUUUUGUUUGCAAUGACACAUAUUCAAACACACAAGGUCUGCAGUGUUUUCCAUGUGGGCCAGGAUAUACAAAGAAAGAUGAAUGUAGGACAAACCAAACUCUCGCACAGUGUAUCCGAUGCAAUGAAGGAACGUACCAACCACACUGUUUAUCUGCAAAUGAAACUGGUGUGUGCAGAAACUGCACGUUAUGUAAUGUUUAUAUAGAAAAUUGUACUAUUUACCAUGAUGCUGUCUGUGGAGGGAGCAAUAAUGUAAAGGAAGGUACCAGUGAAGGAAAUGGAUUUUCAGUAUUGAUGUUGCCUUUCAUAUGGCUCUUCUCAGUUUUCGUCAUCGCCUGCACAUUUGUUUUCUGCCAAUACAGGUAUAAUUUUGUGACACUGGUAUAGAGGCUACAAAACACAACGUAAUCUGCACUUAUUAUCCCUAGCAAUAAUUUUGAGAAAACAGAAGCUCAUGCCGAAAUACUGAAUGUUAACAAAUUUUAUUUAUUUAUUUUUUUGAAUAUAUUUAAUAACAUUAGUUUAUGAAUAAAAUACCAAGUAUCGUAUAUCAAUAAUAAGGGCAACACAAAAAUAAAGUAAAAUUGCUGCGAAAGGUAGACAGAAGUUAUUUUCCCAUAAUUCAACAAUUGCAGGACUGACAGCAAGGAGGACUGACAGUUCAAAGAAAUACUGGAUAAUACCUUGCGAAAAUUACUAAAGAGUAACUAAAGUAAACAUAGCUAUUAAUGAAACGAAGCUUUUACUAACGGUAAAGUUCCAAGAAAUAUUGCAAACGGGACGUUAGGGCGAGUACGUCUAUUCGUACGUCCGUCAUAUUUUGUGUUCGGGUCAUAACUGAAUAACCCUUAAUGGUAUUGACUUUAAACUGUGCAUAUAUGUAGUUGGCGAUAAGACAAUGCGCAAAGCAUAUGACCCAGGUUGCAGGUUGAAGGGCAAGGUCACAACUGGAGCUCAUAGUUAAAUGAUAACAUCAUUUUUCGUUUUCGGAGCAUAGCUUAAAACGGUUUAAAGUAUUGACCUUAACUUAGCGUAUAGGUAGGUGGCGAUCAGACAAUGUGCGAAAACAUUAAACAUUUUGGAAGGCGAAAGGUCAAGACAACAAAUGGAGCUCAAAGGCCAAAUUUGUCAUCCAUGUUGGUGACCGGAGUUAAAUUUAAUAACUAUGCAAGAUAAGGAUCCAGUUUUCUUCAAUUUUACUCUUUACUCCUCUAAUCUUCCGGUGUAUAUUGUUCUGCUUUGCGGAGCCCUAUGUUGCCAUUGCGUUGUUAGAGAUUCACAUCGCAGGUAUUACUUUCAUUUACACUAUCCUGUCCCGGACCAUUGCAGGCCUAGGACUUAAGUUAGGUAUUCUCCAAAACCAAUUAAACCUCCUACAUGGUGAUUUUAUCAGUGACUACCUUAAGGCGGCGGUGCACUACCGCCUCUCUUUGUUUGCUGUAUUUGUGUGUGUGUGUGUGUGUGUGUUUUGUUUGUGUGUAUGAGUUUAUGCGCGUCUGUGCAAGUGUGCGUGUGCACGUGCGUGCUUUGUUUCUGGAUAUUUAUUCUUGUUUGCUUUGUAUGAACCUCAAACAUAACUGUAUGUUUCGAAUCUAUAUAUAACGGUAUAAUUUGUUUGUUUGUUUUGGGUUUAACGCCGUUUUUCAACAGUAUUUCAGUCAUGUAACGGCGGGCAGUUAAACUAACCAGUGUUCCUGGAUUCUGUACCAGUACAUAUCUGUUCUCCGCAAGUAACUGCCAAUUUCCCCACAUGAGUCAGAGGUGGAGGACUAAUGAUAUCAAACAAAAUGUCGUUUAUCAAAUAGUCAUGGAGAAUAUACGCCCGAGGAUCGAACUCGCGACCCCGAGAUCCGUAGACCAACGCUCUUACCUACUGAGCUAAGCGUGCGGGCUAAUAUAACGGUAUAAUGUUUUGUAAAUGAUUAAUAAUGGUAUUGUUAUCUGAGGAUUUCACAUAUUGUAAAAUCCCACAUUUCCUUUAUAUUAUGUUUUCUGCUUGGAAGUAGCAAUUUUGUUUUUGACACGAUGAUUAUCUGGACAGAUUACUUUAAAACAAGCUCACAGGAAUCAUUUGUUGCCAGAUAGAACCUACAUCUCUUGACAGGCGAAUAAAACCAUCAUGUUUCUAAAGUUUGUAAAUUGCUUAAACACCACCCUUGAGUGUCAAAAUAUGCAUACACAUUUUGAAACUUGAAAAGAACAUAUUCUAAAAACCAUUUCGAUUACGGUAUGUGUCGCAAAUACCUUAUCACAAGACAACCCCCUCGCUACAGGUCAAAUUUGGUAAUUCAGUAUGUGUGAGAAAAAAUGGUAUUUUGUCCAGCCUUUUUACUAAGUUUGCCCCUUGUGGCUUUGUUCUUUAUGCAGGGUUGAAAUACUUUGAGAUCGCAGCUGCACACUAUGAGGUUUACAUCAAGGAUACCUAGUAAAUAUUACUACGCAGACAGUAGAUUAACUUUUGAGAAUAUCCAUUCUUUUCAAGUAAAGUAGUGCAUAAUGACAUUACAUUUCACAUAUAUUAACACUGUAAGCGACUAUUGUAAAAUUAACUUACCUCGAAACAAACAUAAUGACUAUAUUGCUAAAUGACCAAAUCUUUCUGUGAAAGGUGCCGACAGCGUCUUAAUGAAGUCGGCAAUAACAAAAGGAACAAUGCUGUGGAUCGAGUAAUACCAAGAGACGAUUGCAACCCUGGUGAUAGAAGAAAAGGCGAAUACAUACAUAACUUUACAACCCAAAAUGAAUUGGCAUAUCCUUUGGAAAACAGACGGAGUACUUCGAAAAACAUAAACAGUACUGUUGGCAAGGUUCCGAUAAUUGAAUGCUUGUUAGGAGAAAACGACAAGAAGAAAGCUCCUGGAGGCUCUACACCGAAUGAUGUGGACGUACACGUUGACGCAGGGUCCCAACAUAGAUCUA